UCGGUUGUUAGAUUUCGAUUGACAAGUCACUCGUUCCUUCAGAUUAAAUCGAAAUUAAACCCGAGAUAGUUGUAUUUCCAUACUAAAUUCAACAUAAAACACCCACUAGUAAAUUUUAUGGCUUUGAAUAGUUAAACCUAACCCCAACAAAUAUAGUCACCACACACCUCGUCACUUCUGAUGUCAUGUUUACAUUUAGGUUUCUCGUGCUCAGGGAACAGUCCCCUUGUGGCACUAGUGAAAUCUAUACAUAUCUUGAUACCUAAAAUCAAUCAUUUUCAUUUCGUGAAAUCUUCAAGACUGCGAACUGGGAUUAUUGUCCAGAAGAAAUUCUUGGAUGCUCCUCUUGUAAUGUUCCCAAUCAACGUCGCCCAUGCUGUGGGAGAUUGACCCAUUGUUGGAGAUUUAUAUUAGUUCCCAAGUCUCAGAAAAAUACAGAGCCAUCUACAACUUUAAUCUCUCAAACAGGACAGAUGCACAGUCAACAAUAGAUAUUAUUCUCAUUUCCCCAUAAAAUCAACCUGCAAAGGCUGACCAAGUAUUUAAGAACAGGAACUACAAGAACUAGUAUGCGCACACACACCAAAAAAAAAAAGUCUAACACCAACACAUCUUGUUACCCAGGAAAUUGGUAAAACCUAAAUAUGGCCAGACAGCCAAGUUAUAACAACUCAGCUGAUGUGUUAUCAACCUUUGAGUAACAAGAUUGGUAUCACAUCAUUCACUUAAGGUGAAGUGAAAAACAAUAAAAAGAAGACUAAUGCACCUUGAUAGAUAUUCCAUACCACUGUGUCAGACAUUAUCACGAGUAUCCUUCCACAAGCAUUCCUCAAAAACAGCGGCAAUGUCCAAUUCAUUGAAAAACAAGCAUAAGAAAUCCUUGUGCGCACCUAACUGGAAGGAAGGAAGGAACAAAAGACAGUUAAAAUAGGGGAGGGGGAGAAAGAGAGAGAGAGAUAUGGGGAGAGAGAGAGAGAGAGAGAGAGAUUAAUAAAUAUCAAUAUUAAGUAAGGUCUCAUCAUGAACAAGACUAAAACAUCACGUUAACAAGCAAGCAAACCUAUUAAAGAGGGCUAUAUACUUCAAUCUUCAUUUAGAGCAAUAAUGUUUUAAAAGAUCAAGACAGCCUUAGGAAAUUUAAAAACAACAAAUAGAACACAUAAGAUUAAACAACAGAGAUCAUCCCCACAUAUAACAUUAUCUAAAAUUAUCUGAGGCAAGGUUGAGUACAAUAAGUAGCAGAUCAUUUCAAGUACGGUAGAUGAUUCAACAAUAUGACAUUAAAAUAGCAUAUACUUAUAUGCAAAAGAUAUAUGAAAUUACUAUACAGUUUUAUGGUUAAUACACAGUACAAAACAAACUUUCAUUUAUCUAAAAAAAAAAAAUUUUAAAAAAGGAAGAAGAAUAAUUGGUGGAUUGAAGUUUCAUUUAAGAGGGAAAAAAAUUGUGUUUGAUCUUAUGUACAAUUGGAAGGAGGUAAAACGUAUCUGAAAUGUUGGGAAUGUAGGAAACAAAUAUAUACAUUUCUAAUUAAUAAACACAGUACAAUACAAUACUUAUCCAAAACCAAAAAGAAAUAUCAACGAAUUGAAAGUUUAUAUAUUUAGUCCUAUAUACGACUGAAAGAAGAAAGUUCAACGUGUCUGGUGUGUUGGGAAUAUUUGAAUAUUUGCGCUAGUGGAAAGACAACCAUAUUAUCUACGGCCCAGUGUCACCUGCUUAGAAUUUCCUAAGCCAAUCGUGCGACCUUAGACAACCAACACUGCCUGAGUGUUGCUAAGUAAGCCUUGCUUGCCAAAAGAACACCAAGAGAACUGAAGCACACCAAGAAGAACAAGAGAAUACUUGUAAGUAAAGAAGCUUUGUAUUCACAAGAGAGCUUUUACAAGAGAACUAGAGAAUGCUUGAGUUCUUGGAUGGUUUAACAAAAUGAAGGCCUCCCUAUUUAUACUAGCCCACCUCCUCAAUGGACAGUAGAGAUCAUUUUUAUCCUACGGUUACAAGUGUACAUCUAGAAAGAUCUACACAAGAUUCUAGAUAAGCUUCUACAUCUUUUACUACAUUCAAGAGUAUUCUAUAAUAGUAAAGAAUACAAGAGGAAAGUGUGUAACAUUUUAGAGGUUCCUCUAUGUAAGCAUCCUAAUAAGCGGCUAUAUAAGCAUCCAGUAAGCGCCAAGUAAGAAUCCUACGUGCAGUAACCUCGAGAUAAUCAACCCUUUUCAAGUGGGUUGUGACACCAAGUUGAAGUUCUAGGUUGGGAAUCACAUGGUUAUUUCCUCACUGAAGACCUGUUAGGAGUACACUAAAAAUUUAGUAACUUUCAGUUCUUGACUUUUAGUUCAGAAAAUCAUGUUUCUUUAAGUAGCUGUACACAGCAAAGGAGCUGCCACUCAAUCACUUCAAUACGGAAAAUGUGACAUUCUUUGUAGAAGUAAGAACAAAGAAGCAAGUUUGAUGUUGUUAU
rnacentral:lncRNA from 1 species